rnacentral:rRNA from 1 species
UGGGGAAUAUUGCACAAUGGGCGCAAGCCUGAUGCAGCCAUGCCGCGUGUGUGAAGAAGGCCUUCGGGUUGUAAAGCACUUUUGUCCGGAAAGAAAUCCUUGGCUCUAAUACAGUCGGGGGAUGACGGUACCGGAAGAAUAAGCACCGGCUAACUACGUGCCAGCAGCCGCGGUAAUACGUAGGGUGCAAGCGUUAAUCGGAAUUACUGGGCGUAAAGCGUGCGCAGGCGGUUUGCUAAGACCGAUGUGAAAUCCCCGGCUCAACCUGGGAACUGCAUUGGUGACUGGCAGGCUAGAGUAUGGCAGAGGGGGGUAGAAUUCCACGUGUAGCAGUGAAAUGCGUAGAGAUGUGGAGGAAUACCGAUGGCGAAGGCAGCCCCCUGGGCCAAUACUGACGCUCAUGCACGAAAGCGUGGGGAGCAAACAGGAUUAGAUACCCUGGUAGUCCACGCCCUAAACGAUGUCAACUAGUUGUUGGGGAUUCAUUUCCUUAGUAACGUAGCUAACGCGUGAAGUUGACCGCCUGGGGAGUACGGUCGCAAGAUUAAAAGC